AAAAAGAACAAGGUCUCCGUUGGUGAACCAGCGGAGGGAUCAU
rnacentral:rRNA from 1 species